GGUCAAGUGAAGAAGCGCAUACGGUGGAUGCCUUGGCAGUCAGAGGCGAUGAAAGACGUGGUAGCCUGCGAAAAGCUUCGGGGAGUCGGCAAACAGACUUUGAUCCGGAGAUCUCUGAAUGGGGGAACCCACCUAGGAUAACCUAGGUAUCUUGUACUGAAUCCAUAGGUGCAAGAGGCGAACCAGGGGAACUGAAACAUCUAAGUACCCUGAGGAAAAGAAAUCAACCGAGAUUCCCUUAGUAGUGGCGAGCGAACGGGGAUUAGCCCUUAAGCUUCAUUGAUUUUAGCGGAACGCUCUGGAAAGUGCGGCCAUAGUGGGUGAUAGCCCCGUACGCGAAAGGAUCUUUGAAGUGAAAUCGAGUAGGACGGAGCACGAGAAACUUUGUCUGAACAUGGGGGGACCAUCCUCCAAGGCUAAAUACUACUGACUGACCGAUAGUGAACCAGUACCGUGAGGGAAAGGCGAAAAGAACCCCGGAGAGGGGAGUGAAAUAGAACCUGAAACCGUAUGCGUACAAGCAGUGGGAGCCUACUUGUUAGGUGACUGCGUACCUUUUGUAUAAUGGGUCAGCGACUUAUAUUCAGUGGCAAGCUUAACCGUAUAGGGUAGGCGUAGCGAAAGCGAGUCUUAAUAGGGCGUUUAGUCGCUGGGUAUAGACCCGAAACCGGGCGAUCUAUCCAUGAGCAGGUUGAAGGUUAGGUAACACUGACUGGAGGACCGAACCCACUCCCGUUGAAAAGGUAGGGGAUGACUUGUGGAUCGGAGUGAAAGGCUAAUCAAGCUCGGAGAUAGCUGGUUCUCCUCGAAAGCUAUUUAGGUAGCGCCUCAUGUAUCACUCUGGGGGGUAGAGCACUGUUUCGGCUAGGGGGUCAUCCCGACUUACCAAACCGAUGCAAACUCCGAAUACCCAGAAGUGCCGAGCAUGGGAGACACACGGCGGGUGCUAACGUCCGUCGUGAAAAGGGAAACAACCCAGACCGCCAGCUAAGGUCCCAAAGUUGUGGUUAAGUGGUAAACGAUGUGGGAAGGCUUAGACAGCUAGGAGGUUGGCUUAGAAGCAGCCACCCUUUAAAGAAAGCGUAAUAGCUCACUAGUCGAGUCGGCCUGCGCGGAAGAUGUAACGGGGCUCAAACCACACACCGAAGCUGCGGGUGUCACGUAAGUGACGCGGUAGAGGAGCGUUCUGUAAGCCUGUGAAGGUGAGUUGAGAAGCUUGCUGGAGGUAUCAGAAGUGCGAAUGCUGACAUGAGUAACGACAAUGGGUGUGAAAAACACCCACGCCGAAAGACCAAGGGUUCCUGCGCAACGUUAAUCGACGCAGGGUUAGUCGGUUCCUAAGGCGAGGCUGAAAAGCGUAGUCGAUGGGAAACAGGUUAAUAUUCCUGUACUUCUGGUUACUGCGAUGGAGGGACGGAGAAGGCUAGGCCAGCUUGGCGUUGGUUGUCCAAGUUUAAGGUGGUAGGCUGAAAUCUUAGGUAAAUCCGGGGUUUCAAGGCCGAGAGCUGAUGACGAGUCGUCUUUUAGAUGACGAAGUGGUUGAUGCCAUGCUUCCAAGAAAAGCUUCUAAGCUUCAGGUAACCAGGAACCGUACCCCAAACCGACACAGGUGGUCGGGUAGAGAAUACCAAGGCGCUUGAGAGAACUCGGGUGAAGGAACUAGGCAAAAUGGCACCGUAACUUCGGGAGAAGGUGCGCCGGCUAGGGUGAAGGAUUUACUCCGUAAGCUCUGGCUGGUCGAAGAUACCAGGCCGCUGCGACUGUUUAUUAAAAACACAGCACUCUGCAAACACGAAAGUGGACGUAUAGGGUGUGACGCCUGCCCGGUGCCGGAAGGUUAAUUGAUGGGGUUAGCGCAAGCGAAGCUCUUGAUCGAAGCCCCGGUAAACGGCGGCCGUAACUAUAACGGUCCUAAGGUAGCGAAAUUCCUUGUCGGGUAAGUUCCGACCUGCACGAAUGGCGUAACGAUGGCGGCGCUGUCUCCACCCGAGACUCAGUGAAAUUGAAAUCGCUGUGAAGAUGCAGUGUAUCCGCGGCUAGACGGAGAGACCCCGUGAACCUUUACUGUAGCUUUGCACUGGACUUUGAGCCUGCUUGUGUAGGAUAGGUGGGAGGCUUUGAAGCGUGGACGCCAGUUCGCGUGGAGCCAUCCUUGAAAUACCACCCUGGCAUGCUUGAGGUUCUAACUCUGGUCCGUAAUCCGGAUCGAGGACAGUGUAUGGUGGGCAGUUUGACUGGGGCGGUCUCCUCCUAAAGAGUAACGGAGGAGUACGAAGGUGCGCUCAGACCGGUCGGAAAUCGGUCGUAGAGUAUAAAGGCAAAAGCGCGCUUGACUGCGAGACAGACACGUCGAGCAGGUACGAAAGUAGGUCUUAGUGAUCCGGUGGUUCUGUAUGGAAGGGCCAUCGCUCAACGGAUAAAAGGUACUCCGGGGAUAACAGGCUGAUACCGCCCAAGAGUUCAUAUCGACGGCGGUGUUUGGCACCUCGAUGUCGGCUCAUCACAUCCUGGGGCUGAAGCCGGUCCCAAGGGUAUGGCUGUUCGCCAUUUAAAGUGGUACGCGAGCUGGGUUUAGAACGUCGUGAGACAGUUCGGUCCCUAUCUGCCGUGGACGUUUGAGAUUUGAGAGGGGCUGCUCCUAGUACGAGAGGACCGGAGUGGACGAACCUCUGGUGUUCCGGUUGUCACGCCAGUGGCAUUGCCGGGUAGCUAUGUUCGGAAAAGAUAACCGCUGAAAGCAUCUAAGCGGGAAACUUGCCUCAAGAUGAGAUCUCACUGGGAACUUGAUUCCCCUGAAGGGCCGUCGAAGACUACGACGUUGAUAGGCUGGGUGUGUAAGCGUUGUGAGGCGUUGAGCUAACCAGUACUAAUUGCCCGUGAGGCUUGACCAU
rnacentral:rRNA from 1 species